AAUGACGACAGACGUUCUUCCUUUGCUGCGUCUACUGCGAGAAUGAAGACUAUUCUCAGCAAUCAGACUGUCGACAUUCCAGAAAAUGUCGACAUUACUCUGAAGGGACGCACAGUUAUCGUGAAGGGCCCCAGAGGAACCCUGCGGAGGGACUUCAAUCACAUCAAUGUAGAACUCAGCCUUCUUGGAAAGAAAAAAAAGAGGCUCCGGGUUGACAAAUGGUGGGGUAACAGAAAGGAACUGGCUACCGUUCGGACUAUUUGUAGUCACGUACAGAACAUGAUCAAGGGUGUUACACUGGGCUUCCGUUACAAGAUGAGGUCUGUGUAUGCUCACUUCCCCAUCAACGUUGUUAUCCAGGAGAAUGGGUCUCUUGUUGAAAUCCGAAAUUUCUUGGGUGAAAAAUACAUCCGCAGGGUUCGGAUGAGACCAGGUAUGUGCAUGCCCUCAGACAGAAUUAAGAAAUUUUUCCUUCAUUUUUUUUUCCUCCUUUUCCACUCCCAACUUCCAUACUUUAGUUGGCUGUUGUUUUGUGUUUGUGCUGAGUAAAACCAGAUUUGUUUUAGAAUUAUCUCUUGAUUACACUUAGAACUGUUGGUGCUACUUAAGGGUUUAUAUCAUUAUAUUGAUUACAAUUUCAAAAAGUUGAUACAUUGGAGUAGCUUGCAGUGGUGGUUGUAUUUAACUUGGCAAAUGAAAUCUUUUAAAAAGACUUUAAAUUUACAAAAGGUGUAUAUAAUGGUGUGUAUUUAUGGAGCACAAUGUGAUGUUUCAACACAUGCAUAUUCUGUGGAAUGACUAAAUCAGGCUAAUUAACACAUCCAUCACUCCAUUUAUUUCUUCGUGGUAAGAACCUUUAAAAUCUAAAGAGAAAACUACAUGAGUAGUGGUUAAUAGCCUAGCUUAAAUUUCAGUUCUCACUGUCCACCUUGGGCAUGUCAUCUCUGCAGCUUAAAAUUGCAAACAUCUUUGAUUAAAUGAGUUAAAGUUGAAAAACAACAGUGCAUGCGUAAUACAUAGUAAACAC
rnacentral:sRNA from 1 species